CCUACGGGAGGCAGCAGUGGGGAAUAUUGCGCAAUGGGCGAAAGCCUGACGCAGCGACGCCGCGUGAGGGAUGAAGGUCUUCGGAUCGUAAACCUCUGUCAGCAGGGAAGAACGGUCACUGUGCUAAUCAGCAGUGAAUUGACGGUACCUGCAAAGGAAGCACCGGCUAACUCCGUGCCAGCAGCCGCGGUAAUACGGAGGGUGCGAGCGUUAAUCGGAAUUACUGGGCGUAAAGCGCUCGUAGGCGGUAUGUCAAGUCAAGGGGGAAAUCCCCGCGCGCAACGUGGGAACUGCCGUUGAAACUGGCAAACUGGAGUGUGUGAGAGGAUAGUGGAAUUCCAGGUGUAGGAGUGAAAUCCGUAGAUAUCUGGAGGAACAUCAGUGGCGAAGGCGACUAUCUGGCACAUAACUGACGCUGAGGAGCGAAAGCGUGGGUAGCAAACAGGAUUAGAUACCCCAGUAGUC
rnacentral:rRNA from 1 species